GCUUGCUGGACGCUGACGAGCGGCGGACGGGUGAGUAACGCAUAGGAAUCUACCCGGUAGUGGGGGAUAACCUGGGGAAACCCAGGCUAAUACCGCAUACGUCCUACGGGAGAAAGCGGGGGCUCUUCGGACCUCGCGCUAUCGGAUGAGCCUAUGUCGGAUUAGCUAGUUGGUGAGGUAACGGCCCACCAAGGCGACGAUCCGUAGCUGGUCUGAGAGGAUGAUCAGCCACAUCGGGACUGAGACACGGCCCGAACUCCUACGGGAGGCAGCAGUGGGGAAUAUUGGACAAUGGGCGCAAGCCUGAUCCAGCCAUGCCGCGUGUGUGAAGAAGGCUUUCGGGUUGUAAAGCACUUUCAGUGGGGAAGAAGGCCUGACGGCCAAUACCCGUCAGGGGCGACAUCACCCACAGAAGAAGCACCGGCUAACUCCGUGCCAGCAGCCGCGGUAAUACGGAGGGUGCGAGCGUUAAUCGGAAUUACUGGGCGUAAAGCGCGCGUAGGCGGCUUGAUAAGCCGGUUGUGAAAGCCCCGGGCUCAACCUGGGAACGGCAUCCGGAACUGUCGGGCUAGAGUGCAGGAGAGGAAGGUAGAAUUCCCGGUGUAGCGGUGAAAUGCGUAGAGAUCGGGAGGAAUACCAGUGGCGAAGGCGGCCUUCUGGACUGACACUGACGCUGAGGUGCGAAAGCGUGGGUAGCAAACAGGAUUAGAUACCCUGGUAGUCCACGCCGUAAACGAUGUCGACUAGCCGUUGGGUGCCUCGAGC
rnacentral:rRNA from 1 species